AAAACAUCGCCUCUUGCUAGAAAAAUAUAAGAGGUCCUGCCUGCCCUGUGACAUAAUGUUUAACGGCCGCGGUAUCUUGACCGUGUGAAGGUAGCGUAAUCAUUUGUCUCUUAAAUGGAGACCUGUAUGAAUGGCAUAACGAGAGCUUAACUGUCUCACUCUUUUAGUCAAUGAAAUUGAUCUCCCCGUGCAGAAGCGGGGAUAAAUACAUAAGACGAAAAGACCCUAUGGAGCUUCAGAAUCUGAGGCAGCCCCAAUAAAAAUUACUAAAAAUAAAGGACCCUGCCCUCAUAUUUCUUCGGUUGGGGCGACCACGGAAAAAAACCAAACUUCCAUGAAAAAAAUACCAAUAUUUGUAUGAAUUAGAGAAACACAAGUCUAAAUUCCAGAAUAUCUGUUUAUUAAUGAUCCGGCCUAUUUAAAGCCGACCAACGGAACAAGUUACCCUAGGGAUAACAGCGCAAUCCCCUUCUAGAGCCCACAUCGACAAGGGGGUUUACGACCUCGAUGUUGGAUCAGGACAUCCUAAUGGCGCAGCCGCUAUUAAGGGUUCGUUUGUUCAACGAUUAAAGUCCUAC
rnacentral:rRNA from 1 species